rnacentral:rRNA from 1 species
GACGGGGGGGGCAAGCGUUAUCCGGAUUCACUGGGUUUAAAGGGUGCGUAGGUGGGCAGGUAAGUCAGUGGUGAAAUCUCCGGGCUUAACCCGGAAACUGCCAUUGAUACUAUCAGUCUUGAAUACCGUGGAGGUAAGCGGAAUAUGUCAUGUAGCGGUGAAAUGCUUAGAUAUGACAUAGAACACCAAUUGCGAAGGCAGCUUACUACCCGAAUAUUGACACUGAGGCACGAAAGCGUGGGGAUCAAACAGG